UCAGAUCUAAAAGACUCGUCCCAUAGAAACAAUCUUCCGAAACUAAAAUCUUCAAAAUAUUUUCAUCCAACUAUUCUCUGCUCAACUAUGGAGAUCUCCGGUGUAAUUUCACGGUCAGCGCUGGAACUGAUAAGGUUUAUGUGAUAUCUAGAAAAUGUACUGUUUACUGUAAUCUCAAGGUGUUUGGCGUUUUGGAUUUUUAUGUUUCUCCUUCAACGUAUGAUUUGGAGAAUAAGAGAAGAAGGACAAGAAGAAUUUAGAGAUGGGAAAAUGAGAAACAAGUUUGUUUUUCUUCGAGGAAAAAUGGAAGAAGAAGUUGAAAUUGGUUAGGGUUAUCGAUGUUUUGAGCAAUGGGGUUUUAAAGGAAGCAUCAGAGAUUUUAAUGACACAUUUGAAUUGAUUAAAGGAAAUGAAAAUAAAGAAGAAAGAAGUCAGAAACUGUGAUGGUAACACCAGAUGGAGAAUGGAUUGAGGUAUGCAUGGGAGGGAAGUGUAAGAAAUGAGGAGCUGCAGAAUUAUUACGAGUUUGAGAAAAGGGUUAGUGGAGUUGAAGGUGGUAGUGUUGCUGCUGUUGGUUGUAAAUCUAGAGAUGGUCCUAGUGUUAGGGUUUUGAACCAAUGCAAUGGGGAAAAGACAACAACGGUGGAGGAAAUUAGUGUUGUUGAUGCUCUUCUAGGAUUAAUCAUUUGUGUACUAGAGUUGGUUUAGAACAAGGUUUCUAAGUAGAGAAGAUGUUGGGAACACCUCUCUGCACUGCAACAACUACUAUACAGGCUUAUUGGUUGCAAGUAUAAAGGUGGAGCAUAUCAUAACUAUCUUAUUCAGUAUGCAGUUGCUCUGGUACUAGUCGCAAUUCCAGUUGGGUGGUUAACGUGCAAUGGUUGCCCCCCUAAACAUGGUUACUCAAAUAUGGAAUGUGGAAAAGACAACAACGGUGGAGGAAAUUGGUUUUGUUAAAGCUCCUUCAGGCUUAAUCCUUUGAGUAUUGGAAUCGGUUUAGAACAAGGUUUCUAAGUACAGAAGAUCUUAGAACACCUCCCUGCACCGCAACAACUACUAUGAUUGCUUAUUGGUUUCCAGGUAGUAAAACUCUUAUUCGCAGUUUCUGACUUUAGUUAUAAACAGCUCACUUGUUCUUUCACUUUUGCGCCUGAAGAUAGAGCAUAUCAUAAAUAUCUUAUUCAGUGUGCGGUGACCGGUUGCUCUGGUUCUGGUUUGUGUACUAUCCAACCUGUUUACAUUUCUCUUUAUCAUUGUUAUUGAUAGGGAAAAUAUCUUACAUAGCAUUGAUUUUCUUACAUAUCUUACAAGUAGCAAAAUAUCUUACAUAGCAUUGUUAUUGAUAGGGAAACGAAUCCAUAUAUAUCCAUUAUAUGUUCUUUUUCUGACUGUUUGGUACUACUUGUGAUUUAAAAUGCUCGCUGUAGAAAAUCUUCAUUUGAUUUGGUUGUAUAUAGUUGAAGAAAAUCUUCUUCACAUGUUUAUAAUUUUGAUAUGAGACACUUCAAUAUAUUUCUUGCUAUCAUUUGUGAAUCCUGGGAGACUUAUUUGUUCUCUACAUUUCAGAAGACAAAUGUUUAUGGGAUCCUAAAUGUUAAGGCUUAAAAACACAAGUCAAACCAUUGAACUCAUAUCUCUAUGCCUUACAUCAAUGGCCAUGAAUUAACAAUUUUAAGAUCCAUACAGUGUAAACUGUGCACUAUCUUCUUCAUUGUAAUACUUACUCCCAUAGACUAUAUAGCAAAUAAAAAGAAUAUCGUGGACACUAUGUUUCACUGGGAGUAAUUAAGUAGUCUAUUUUGAUUUUAACCUAGUGUUUAAUGUGGUAAUGUGUCUGUACCAACAAAUUUCAUCAUUUGGUCCUUGCAAAUCUGUUUUGAUUUUAAUAUGGUCUUUGUGCAUUUGAGUUAUCUUUCAUUUGUAUCUAUAAAUUGUGAACUUUGAUCUUAAUAUGCGAAGUCACAUGGCUUUUUGAAA